AUUCAGCCAAAAUUUGACUGUGGCGGAAACAUGCCGAAUGUCCCUCCGAAGGUGAUAAGAAUGUCACGAAUGCCGUUUUCACGCUGUCCGAUUGUUUAUAAUGCAGUCAGACUGCAGUCAGACGGCACUUUGACUGCCAUUCGAUCGUUUUUAGACUGCGCCACAAAUGUUUUGAACAUGUGCAAAACAUUUGAGGUGGCCGCAUGA